rnacentral:rRNA from 1 species
CCUACGGGUGGCAGCAGUGAGGAAUAUUGGUCAAUGGACGAGAGUCUGAACCAGCCAAGUAGCGUGAAGGAUGACUGCCCUAUGGGUUGUAAACUUCUUUUAUAUGGGAAUAAAAUGUUCCACGUGUGGGAUUUUGUAUGUACCAUAUGAAUAAGGAUCGGCUAACUCCGUGCCAGCAGCCGCGGUAAUACGGAGGAUCCGAGCGUUAUCCGGAUUUAUUGGGUUUAAAGGGAGCGUAGGUGGAUUGUUAAGUCAGUUGUGAAAGUUUGCGGCUCAACCGUAAAAUUGCAGUUGAAACUGGCAGUCUUGAGUACAGUAGAGGUGGGCGGAAUUCGUGGUGUAGCGGUGAAAUGCUUAGAUAUCACGAAGAACUCCGAUUGCGAAGGCAGUUCACUGGACUGCAACUGACACUGAGGCUCGAAAGUGUGGGUAUCAAACAGGAUUAGAUACCCUAGUAGGC